GGUGCUAGUGUAAAAGAAGGGGUGCUAGUGUGAAGGAAGGGGUGCUAGUGUAAAAGAAGGGGUGCUAGUGUGAAGGAAGGGGUGCUAGUGUGAAGGAAGGGGUGCUAGUGUAAAAGAAGGGGUGCUAGUGUGAAGGAAG